GCGAGGCAGAGCGAAUCGCUAAAAGCCGUCCCAGUUCGGAUUGCAGGCUGCAACCCGCCUGCAUGAAGUUGGAAUCGCUAGUAAUCGCGGAUCAGCAUGCCGCGGUGAAUACGUUCCCGGGCCUUGUACACACCGCCCGUCACACCAUGAGAGUCGGGAACACCCGAAGUCCGUAGCCUGACCGCAAGGGGGGCGCGGCCGAAGGUGGGUUCGAUAAUUGGGGUGAAGUCGUAACAAGGUAAC
rnacentral:rRNA from 1 species